rnacentral:ncRNA from 1 species
GCAUAAUCGUUGAGAAAGACAAGUACUUCAUAGAGGUCUUAAGAGAGAGAACGGGUGGUGCAAGUUCUUGGGUGUAUGAAGGAAGGCUCCUUUCGAGAGUGAUGUAAACAUCAACGUAUGACUGCGUUAAAGUCAUAAAGGGCAUAGAUAUAUUUAUCUAUGAAUAAGGAUGGUACCGCGAUUUAAGUCGUUCCUUUU